rnacentral:rRNA from 1 species
CCAAGGCAACGAUGCGUAGCCGACCUGAGAGGGUGAUCGGCCACACUGGGACUGAGACACGGCCCAGACUCCUACGGGAGGCAGCAGUAGGGAAUCUUCCGCAAUGGACGAAAGUCUGACGGAGCAACGCCGCGUGAGUGAUGAAGGCUUUCGGGUCGUAAAACUCUGUUGUUAGGGAAGAACAAGUGCUAGUUGAAUAAGCUGGCACCUUGACGGUACCUAACCAGAAAGCCACGGCUAACUACGUGCCAGCAGCCGCGGUAAUACGUAGGUGGCAAGCGUUAUCCGGAAUUAUUGGGCGUAAAGCGCGCGCAGGUGGUUUCUUAAGUCUGAUGUGAAAGCCCACGGCUCAACCGUGGAGGGUCAUUGGAAACUGGGAGACUUGAGUGCAGAAGAGGAAAGUGGAAUUCCAUGUGUAGCGGUGAAAUGCGUAGAGAUAUGGAGGAACACCAGUGGCGAAGGCGACUUUCUGGUCUGUAACUGACACUGAGGCGCGAAAGCGUGGGGAGCAAACAGGAUUAGAU